GAUUGUUCACCCACCAAUAGGGAACGUGAGCUGGGUUUAGACCAUCGUGAGACUGGUUAGUUUUACCCUACAAAUGACAAUAUCACAAUAGUAAUUCAACGUAGUACGAGAGGAACCGUUGAUUCGCACAAUUGGUCAUCGCGCUUGGCUGAAAAGCCAGUGGCACGAAGCUACCGUGCGCUGGAUUAUGACUGAAUGCCUCUAACUCAGAAUUUGGGCUAGAAGCGACGCAUUUGACUGGCCUAGCCCCCAAAGGCACGUGUCAUUGGUGAAGCCCGUGCGGCUAAUGAGCUACGUAAGCCGCCUUAAAGUACAAUUCCUAUCUCGAGCGGCGGGUAGAAUCCUUUGCAUCUGACGUAAUUACAUGACGGGGUAUUGUAAGUGGCGGAGUGGCCUUGCUGCCAUGAUCCACUGAGAUUCAGGCUGGCGUCGCUCCGAUUCCUCCCUCCC
rnacentral:rRNA from 1 species